rnacentral:lncRNA from 1 species
UCAGGUCUUGUGCCUGUAGUAGAAAGGAUUAUUAUUAUUAUUAUUAUUAUUAUUAUUAUUAUUAUUAUUAUUAUUAUUAUUAUUAUUAUUAUAUCACUAUUUAGUCAUUCAUCUAAAGAGGUGCAGGAAAUAUGGAGCGCCAGAUUAAAUUCCAGUUCCUUGGCAGUAUUUUCAGACUUGUUUCUCGUGGUCCUCAAUGCAGAUCCUUUCGGGAGCAAUUGUGCAUUUUACUUUCAGCUCUCCCAUCCCAGUAUCAACAAACCAACCAUACAGCAGUCAUGUGGGUCGUCUACAGACCCUUCAAUCAUCUAACCCCCGUAUUUAACUCCAACGAAUUUUUUGACAUUUUGCCUGUUACAAAAAUUAUUAUACCACUCUUUCAUAGUUUCAUUCAUCCAUUCAUUCAUUCAUUCAUACUUUCUUCACUUCUUCUCUUUCUUUCUUUCUUUCCUUUUUCUUCCUUUUUUCUUUCUUUCUUUCUUUCUUCCUUUUUUCUUUCUUACAUUGUUUCAUUCUUUCUGUUUCGUUUGUUCCUUCGUUCCUUCCUUCCUUCACUACAUUCAUCGUUUUAUUCUUUCAUCUAUUCUUUCUUUCUUUUCGUUUUUCUCUUCCCUUUUCUAUCUAUCUUUCUUUCUUUCUUUCUUUCUUUCUUUCGGUAUUCCUGUAUUCUUUCUUACAUUGUUUCCUUCUUUCAAUAAUUCAUUCUUUCUUUCUGAUUCGUUCGUUCGUUCCAUCCUUCCUUACAUUCAUCAUUUCAUUCUUUCACAUAUUUUUUCUUUCUUUCUUUCUUUCAUUCUUUCUUUCUUUCUUUCUUUCUAUCUUUCUUUCUUCCUUUUUUCUUUCUUACAUUAAUUCAUUCUUUCUCUGUUUGGUUCGUUCCUUCCUUCCCUGCAUCCAUCGUUUUAUUCUUUCAUCUAUUCUUUACUUCAUUUCUUUCUUUCUUUCUUUAUUUAUUUAUUUCCUUCCUUUCUUUCUUCCUUUCUUUCUUUCUUUCUUUCUUUCAUUUCAUUUCAAAUGAAAUCGAUAGUUAAGUUUUUCCUGUUUCCAAUUUACUUUUUCUUUGAUUACAUUCUUUAAUCUUAAAACAUUUUUCUUUUUCAUUCUUACAUUUUGCUCGUUCCACCCCUUUCAUUCACACAUUCCUUUCUUGAAUUAUUCAUCCGGUCUUCGAGUAAUUCCAUACCAGAUCUUUUUUUUUUGUUUUUAAUCAUUUUUUCCCCUUCUUACUUCACACUUUACUUAUAUCAUCUGUCCAACCUUCCCGCUUCUUUUAGCUUCUUUCAUUUAUCCUUUCACUUGUUUAUUCCUACUUUCCUGCCUUACAGUUUUCACUUUAUACCAUGUUCUUUUCACAUACAUGCAUAUAUAUAUAUGUGUGUGUGUGUGCGCGCGCGUGUGUGUGUGUGUGUGUAUGCUUGUAUGCCUUUCUUAUUUCAUAUAUAUUAUAUAUAUGUGUGUGUGUGUGUAUGUAUUCAUAUGUUUAUUUAUAUACACAUACAUAUGUAGAUAUACACACACACACACAUACACAUACUGUAUUUCAUUCCCGCGCAUUUUCUCCCCUUCUGUCAUUUAUUCAUUCUUCAUUGUUUUCUGUCCUUUUCUUUUUCAUUCAAUCUUCACUUUUUUCCCCCCACGUUUUCGUUUUUACUAUUUCUUCAUGUCUUCACGUCUUCUAUUUUGUUCAAAUUUUCUUAUUACUUCGCUUCUUUCCUCAUAUUUCUUCCAAUUUAGUUUUCAUUCUGCCUGUCGCUGUCUUUCCUUCAUUUUUCUGUUAUUAUUAUUAUUAUUAUUAUUAUUAUUAUUAUUAUUAUUAUCAUUGUAUUUUUCGAUUGCUAUUAAUCUCUUCGUUUCUCUUAAAUUCAAACUGCAGUCCUUAUCGCCGCCCAGCAUCCUAUCUUUCUAACUUCUAUUCAUUUUUCAGCCUAUCAUUUACUCUUUGGCUCUUCCUGCCACUCUUUUACUUCUGGUCUCCCUUCCACUUCCACUUUCACCGUCGUUCUUAUUCUCUCCCACUCCUUCUCUUCCAUAGACUUUACGUAAUUCUUCCAAUUCUUCUAUCAUAUAUACAUAACUCUCUUUCUAUCUCUAUCGGGCUGUGUUUCAGACUCUCUCAUUUUCUGUCUGUCUCUCUGCCUGCCUGUCCGCCUGUCUGCCUACCAGUCUGUCUGUCUGUCUGUCUGUCUGUCUGUCUGUCUGUCUGUCUGUCUGUCUCUCUCUGUCUUAUAUAUAUUUCACGUAUUCUUCUGCAUAUCCUUUCUGUUUAUUUCUCUCUCUCUCUCUCUCUCUCCUUAAGCUUUGUCCUCUCCUUCAUUCCUUCUUUUUAUACAAAUUCAUUUAACUUCAGUUUCGUUUAUUUUACUUUGUCGUUUUGUGGACAUAUGCCGACGGCAUGUAGCAUUCUUGGCAUAAGCACAUGUUAUGUCGUUUCCAUUUCUAUCCAUGUUAUGAGUUCUCUUUGGGGGAGAAACCCCCCCCCCCCAAAAAAGAUCCAAAUAACAAAAAAAGAUACUUGAACUUCUGUGUUUAUUCCAAGCAAUACAUUCAUACAUAGAUACAUAGAUACAUAUGCACACACACACACGCGCGCGCGCACUGAUAUGUGUAUAUAUAUUUAUAUGUACAUAUAUAUGUAUAUAUUCAGAUAUAUAUAUAUAUACAUAUAUAUGUCUAUAUAUAUUUGCAUAUUUACAUAUAUACACAUACACAAACACAUAAAUAUACAAAGUGCUUGUAUGUACGUAUAUAUAUAUAUAUAUAUAUAUAUAUAUAUAUAUAUAUUUAUAUAUAAUAAUAAUAAUAAUAAUAAUAAUAAUAAUAAUAAUAAUAAUAAUAAUAAUAAUAAUAAUAAUAAUAAUAAUAAAUGCGCCCUUUUAAAGCCUAGCCAGGUUCAUGGGCCCGGUUUCCCGGUUUCAAUGGCUUAUGUGUUCCCCAGCUGGACGGGACGUCAGUUCAUCGCAGCGUUAAUCAUUUUUGCCAGCUGAGUGGACUGGAGCAACGUGAAAUGUAGUAUUUUGCUCAAGAACACAACGCGUCACCCGGUCCAGGAAUCGAAACCAUAAUCUUACGAUCUUACGAUGCUGACACCCUAACCACUAAGCCAUGUGCCUCCACACACACACACACAUACACACACACACACACACACACACACACACACACACACACACACACACACACACACACACACACACACACACAAACAUACAUGUAUGUGCAUGUACCUUAUAUAUAUGUACAUAUAUAUAUUUUUUAUCUAUCUAUCUAUCUAUGUAUCUAGUUUUUUUUACCUGUCUCUCUUUAUCUGUAUACGUAUACAAAUUGCUUUCCAUUGCUUUUAAUUAUAUUAUAGCUGACAUGAAUUUUUGAACCAGUUUGCAUUCUUCAGCUGGCUUUAUUCAUUGGAUUGCUCUACUACUAGGGUACCACUUUCAAAUUUUUUAAAAUUCAGUCUUAAGGAUUCCAGAAAAGAUUUCACAUUGAUACUAUUUUAAGUGUCUGUAUCAGUGUUUCUCUCAAAUAUUUUGGUCAAACAAUAUUUUGAAUUUGCCAAAUCGUCGAGGUUCCCUAAGUAAAUCAAUUUUCCCUUACCCUUCACUUUUAUUAAUAUCUUAUAUUGAACAUAGAUGUAAAAGUUCAAUUUUAGUUAAAGAUGUGUCUCAAGGACGCGCCCCCGACAUUGAUAUAUAUAUUUCAGUAUUUACCAAAUAGCUAACUCUUUGAAGAGAACAUUGAUAAAUAUAGGUACACAUUUUCUGACGUACAUUUGUUUUUUCUAUAUCUAAUUGUUGAGUCGCCUCUCUCUCUCUCUCUCUCUCUCUCUCUCUUUCUAUCAUACAUGCACGCACGUAUGUAUGAUAAAUGUAUAUAUACAAAUAUAAAAUACUAUAUAUAUAUAUACUUAGAUGCACACAUAUAUAUAUACACAUCUGUAUACAUACAUAUAUAUAUCCUGUAUAUAUAUAUAUAUAUAUAUAUAUAUAUAUAUAUAUAUAUAUAUGUAUAUAUACUGUAAAUGAUAAUAAUGGUAUUUUUAUAUAAGCUUAAAGCUUAUGGCGAUCACCGUGCAAUAACUGAGGAAAAUAGUCUAAUAAAGUGGCAUAUAGGUCCUCGACAGAAAAAGAAGGCUUUUCUAUCCGCACCGAAAGCAUAUAUAUAUAUAUAUAUAUAUAUAUAUAUAUAUAUAUAUAUAUAUAUAUAUACAUUAGCGUGAUGCAAAAUAACAUCAUUUCAAAAAGUUAAAGAUACCCUCUAAUUUUAUUUAAUUUAGGGCAAAAGUUAAACAUGCAAACUUUCGGCACAAUCGAGGUCAUUUUAGAGGUGCUAACAUCCACUAAACAUUUUAUAUAUUGUUAAUUUUCAGUUUCUGUUUAUUGUAUAUCUUCUGUCUCCUUACCAUUUUCUACUGGCUCUGACAUACAACUGCUUAGGAGAUUCAAAGCAAAGUGGGUGGAAAUUGACAAGAUCAAUUACCAAACAGCAACAGGUGACUAACAUUGCAGGGAAAAUCUCAGAUGCUGAAAAAAUCAUUCAAUUUGUUCAAGCUCUGCUUCAUGAACAGCAGUCUCGUGAUAACUACAAGGAAUUGCUCGAGUUAACGUUCAUUUUCCUCGGUAGUACUCCCAAGUCAGGAAUCAGCUUUAAAGCACCCUGAGCUUAUCACAAAGGACGAUGGAUGACCAAGCUAAUUUACUGCAUUAAAAUUUGAAUGUUUAAAUCUCAGUUUCAUCUGAGAGGGAAAGAGAGGAUAAAGGACUGAGAGAUGUUUGCGGCUUUUCAGCUGCGAUAUACAUCAGAUCGUGGUACCUGGCAUCCAUACGCUCAUGUGCCCCACCCCCGUUCAGAUUUGCAUUUUGUACAAAGUCUGCAGCUCUACAAGCGAAAGAAUGAUAAAAAGUUCAAGUGCUGUACUUAAUAAGUUUUUGAGACGUUUGUGGUAUCUCUCUGAGGAACUUGUGGCACUCGCAUUUUUUAUUCAGCCGUUUCGCAUGAGACAAAAG